CCGCCAUCUACAUACCGAGCCUGGAUCAUUUGCUCGAUACACAAACACAGACGCCAAGCCGGAGUGCGUCAUAACUCAGUAUGCAAACACGACCCAAGGUGGCCACACGAACCUCUCGCACCCUCCCCCCUUUUCCUUCCUUUCCUCACCCCCCAUUUCCCUGUCUCUCUCUCUCCUUCUCUCACCUUUUCUCUCUUCCUUCUUCUUUUCCUCUUUUGCUUCACGUCCAGUUUGCUCACCCGCCAUACUUGUUUCCCUUCUCUUAUCUCCCUCGUUUUAUUCUAUUUGCUUCAGUCACUGCUUUCAUCACCCUUAUCCUUCUCUUAUGUCUCUUUUACCAUACUUUUCCUACAAUCCAUUUAUGCUUUUUCAAUUUUUUCUUGCAGUAGCUUUUCACUUUCCUCACUAUAUUACUUUCUCCUGUGUCAAAAUGUAUGUUUUUUUCUGUUAUCUCCUGUUUUAUCUCCUCUCUUAUGUAUUCUUUCUGUUCCUUACUCCUCUGUUUUCUAAUCUAAUUCAUCCUCCAUUUUUCCCUGUCCGUUUUCCAUUCUCUAUCUUCCGUCCUUGUCGAUCUAAAUAUCCUUUUUUUCAGCUUUCUUGUCUCUCCGGUUUAUUUUCAUCAACCAACCUUACUUCCCAUCCUCUUCUACUCGUCAUCCACUCCCACAGUUGCCUAUCUUCAGUUUUCUUCAUCAACUCCUCAUUUCCCCAACGUCCUCUUCGUAUAAACAUCAUUUUCUCUUAUUCUUCUUUUCCUUGUGUCUGUAAUCCUCUCCCACCCUUGUUUUCUCAAGAGUCCCUCCCACAGUGCAAGAACCAGCCGAUAAUGUGCUUGACACCUGCCUCCCGCCACUCACACGGAGCCCUCAGGCCCUGUCGAAGCACCGCGGCGCUCACCGGCAACACUGUCCAGACGCAGGCACGGGGUGACGGGGCGACUGACACAGUUGGUGAAACGUGACCAGAUGCCUUUGCCACUGCUCUCCCUGUGAAAGUCACAGAUCUGGGUGAGGAGAGCCUUGAAGAAGGGUGUCUGGCUGGGGGGCAAGCGUUCCUUGAACCUAGCUAAUAUUUCCUGAGUACUGGCUUGCCCAUCAACUUCUGCUUGGAAUGCCACAAAGUUCCUGAUGUCUGCUACCUGAGCGUCUGUGGAGGGGUUCCAGUCAGGGUCAAAAAUUAUGACGCGAUCAGCACCAGUCAGGUUCACUCCAAGGCCGCCAACACGGGUGGUGAGGAGGAACACAAAGUAGGAUGAGUCAGUGUUGAACUUCUCGAUCAAAG